rnacentral:lncRNA from 1 species
GAUAGUCUACCAACAAAAGAAAUUAUUCUUAUUUGAUUGAAGUUACAGAAUUAUAAUGAGGUGUUUUGCAACAUGUAUUUUAAAGUUUGUAUAUGAUUUUAAACUAUAAAUUUGUUAUUUUUGAUUUAAUAUUCAAUAACUUAUCUACCAAAGUUUUAUCAAAGUUAAAAAUUUUCAAAGUUCAACCACUAAAUAGUUACCUAAAAAUUUCAAUUUUCCCGGGUUUUUCAGUUUUAGACUCACUUUGAUGUUUCUAGGUUUUCCAAUUUAAGACCCACUUUACCCAAUACCUUACCCAUAACCGACCCAGUACCAUCUCUUAUAUACCAAUCCGGUUUUUGAUUCUACAAAAUCUCAUUGUUUUAGACUCACUUUGAUGUUUCUAGGUUUUCCAAUUUAAGACCCACUUUACGCAAUACCUUACCCAUAACCGACCCAGUACCAUCUCUUAUAUACCAAUCCGGUGAUUCUACAAAAUCUCAUUGUUUUAGACUCACUUUGAUGUUUCUAGGUUUUCCAAUUUAAGACCCACUUUACGCAAUACCUUACCCAUAAAUAACCGACCCAGUACCAUCUCUUAUAUACCAAUCCGGUUUUUGAUUCAACAAAAUCUCAUUGUUUUAGACUCACUUUGAUGUUUCUAGGUUUUCCAAUUUAAGACCCACUUUACGCAAUCCCUUACCCAUAACCGACCCAGUACCAUCUCUUAUAUACCAAUCCAGUUUUUGAUUCUACAAAAUCUCAUUGUUUUAGACUCACUUUGAUGUUUCUAGGUUUUCCAAUUUAAGACCCACUUUACGCAAUACCUUACCCAUAACCGACCCAGUACCAUCUCUUAUAUACCAAUCCGGUUUUUGAUUCUACAAAAUCUCAUUAACCGGUUUCCGAAUUUGGACCCUCUCUCUGGGAAAUUAUAAAAAGCACUUCGGUUUUUCUCAUAAUUACCUUUAUAUCAAAGUUUCUUUGAUAUCUACACUAUCCAAAUUUUUCUUAUUUUGACUCUAUCUUUUCUUUUUUGGAAAACAUUGACAAUAAAAACGUUGAGGUUUUAGGUAUUACCAUUUACCAAAGGAAAACAUUGACACUAAAAACGUUGAGGUUUUAGGUAUUACCAUUUACCAUCUAAUACCAAGAUUUUGCAAAGUCUGAUUUAUAAUUUAAUUAAUCAUUUUCAUAAGUAAAUGAGGACAACCUUGUCUUUUACUUUUACUAUUUGAGACACCUUACAAAUGUUUUUGUCUUUCAAGUAGUCAUUAUCAAACUUUUUUUAGGGAUGAAAACAACAACUUAAAAAUUUCUUUCAAACAAAUCUAACUAUUUUUAGAAUCAAUAACUAAUAAAGUUCUUAUAAAAGUGUUCAUUUUAUAAGCACUAUUCUAGUAACUUUAAUUUAUAAAUUUAUAUUUGUCUGCAAUGAAGUUUAUAAAAUGUUCAUUUUAUUUCAUGGAAUUAAAUCGAUAGUUCAAGUAACUUCAGUUUACAGAUUUAUAUUUGUCUGAUUUGUUAAAUCAGACAACCAAUGAUCUCUCAAAGAGAUAAAAUAACCUAUAUUUAUUAUUUAUGCAAAUCAUUACCAAAUACUUUAUUUUUUUACUUUGAAUAAAUGGUUUUUUUGGAAUUUCAUACCAUGAAAUCGUUUAUUAAAUUAUAUAACUUAUAAAUUGAAUUAUCUAAUAGAAUUGUAGAAACAUCUGGUUGCACAAGCAAACAAUAACACUAGAGACACAAACCAGUCUGCUCCAAUUCAUUUAGGCAAACGUUCAGCACUAAAAACACUAUAGAAUAAGCGCAUUAGCGACUCUAAAAUGUUGCCAUAAAUCGCAUUUUAAUCAACAAAAGAACUUUAUAUAAUAAAAUAUAUAGAUACAUAAAGAUGUAAGAACAUCUGAAUGCAUAAGCCUUGUAAAACAGACAAAUGCCAGAAUCUCAGUUACAUAUUGUUAUCGGCAACGUACAGCACUGAAUACACUACCAAAAAGCAGAUCAGAGACUCUAAUUUGUUGCCUUUAAUCCCAUCAUUACCGAAUAAAUCCAAAUGAACUUUAAAAAAAAAUACUAAUCAAUGAAAUUAUUAAGAGAUUUUGAAAACGGAAUCAUAGGCUCAGUUGAAUGUUAAUCAUCAAAGAAAAGCGUAAAGCUUUCAGAGUUUGAUGGUAUGUUUGUUUUCGUCAUCAUUGCCUUGAUCAGCGAUUAGAAAAGGAAAAAACACAUGUUCAAACAUACAAAACAGAUGCGUGAAUUGGUAAAACGAGAGGAACACAGAGCCAUGAAUCUACCUCAUAAGCUGAUUCCUUGCAGACGUUAACAGAAAAGAGAGGAAUAAUUUUGAUGAUGAAGCUGCUUGAAGAACGUAGUUAUAUAGAAACUAAUGAAACCCUAGUUCCAAAUGUACACAAGCCCAUCUACAGAAUUUUU